GAGUUCACACCUCAGAAGAAAGGUGUCCCUUUCUGCCUCCAGAUCAACAGCUUUAAGUCCAGGGACAAGGGGCAUCUGACAGAGCACCUGCAUUUGGCUGGUUGCUUCAUCAAGGUGUUCAAGAGCCAAAAUCUGGCAUGUGCUUUUUUUGACUCGGGGGAUGUGAUUAAGCUCUGGACAUUACUGGACAAACUGCUGGGAGGAGACCUACUUUAUUCCUUCAGUGGGCAUUUUUCUACUAAAUUUCCGUCUGGAACCACAGCCCGUGUGAUUUGCUGGCAGUCAUAGAGUUCUAUCCGCUCAAGGCUGUGACAGCUCUUCAAAUGCUCCAAGGAUGCGUCUGUGAUUAGUGGGCAGUUGUCCAGCUCAAUCACCUCCAACUGGUCAUGGGCACAGGCCCCAUUUCCUAGGUGACGAAUUCCAUCGUCUGUGAUCAGCUCACAGUGAGAUAGACUCUGCGGCCAAAUAGAGCAAAAAAUGAUGCUGAAAUAUCUUCUGAUAAUCUGUUAGCCAGUGACUUGUGUAAAAUCAGAAAGAUGACCUUUCUGUUUUGAUUUUGAUGAUUAUGGAACCAUCAUUAGAUCCAUGUGUGAUGAAAUAAAGAAU